AUGGUGGAUUGUCACUUGAAGGGUGAGGAAGCGCCAAUUGUCAAAAGUUGUGGGAAAUCAAGCUAAUGAAUCUUGUUGACAUGCCAUGUGGUUGACAAACAAUCCAGGCAUGCCCUAGUGAUAUUUGGUGGUGAUUUCUGGAUUGAAUUCGACGAAUGAAGUGUUACAACGACCCCAAGGUUAAAUGCGACGCAAAUGGAUCACGAUGAAUGUGAUCCAAGUGAGUUGGAGAGCUUUCUCCAGAGCUGCCUGGACAGUGCCAACGCGACUUUGCUGGACGUGGACGACCCACUGUCGGGUGGUGGCCUGUCGGUGGGCGCGUCGGCCAGCACGCCGCUGG